GAGAUGGAAGACUUAAGGAAUUAAAUAACGGUAACUAGUUCUCCUUUUGAUUAUCAUGUAAUUAAAAUAUAUGAAAACAUAGUUUCUGUCAUUUAGUAAUGCUGACAG